rnacentral:lncRNA from 1 species
UUCGUUAUAAGAUGAUGAACAAAAAUUAGAUUCAGAGGCGGGCAGGUCCGCUUCUUGUUUUCUCAGGAAUGCGAAGAAUAAAGAGUGUGCAUGUGAGGAAAAGAGUAUGAUGGAAAAUGCUCUUUUUAAAAUCACUUGAAUAGAGGAGUCCGCCUUUACAAUUCAUUGACAUAUUACAUAUAGAUUUCUCCCUCUGCCUAAAGCCCAAGCUAAAUAUCCUGGCUACGUAAUUAUUUUUAUCACGACACUUGUUGUAGUUGUCUAGGUUGCAACCAAAGACGUGAUCUCCUACCGUCUUGAAAGUGGAAGGGGUCUGACCAGACUUGUCCCCUGUUGUAGCAAUUGGAACGUCCAUAUCCAAAGGAUGUCUUGUCGUAGAGACGAAUGUUGCCAUCAGAGAGGUGAGCAGUGGUCCAGGAUCAACCUUGGACCAGCCCAACUCGGCCGGUCUUGGUCCAGUUCCCAAGGAGACAAGGUCGGUCCCUAAUUCUGGGACCCUUGAACCUUGCAUUGUUCGAAUUGGUCAUCGGUUUUGAAAUUUUAGGAUGGGGAUUGGACCAACCCUAGUUCAAACCAAGCCCUAGGUGACUUUGUUGUCUUUCUUUUGCUAUGUAAAGUAGAAACUCUCGUUUGACCAAAAGAGAUAGAAACCCUCUUUGUCUUUGCUUUUUGUAGCCGGCUUUGUUCACUUGCGUCGCUCGCCUUUGUUUUAUUGCCUAUCUUACCGAGGAGAUUACCAUCGAUAAGUAGAGUUUGCACAUUGAAGUGGAAUGAAUAUAAGUGGUGAGAUAUUUUAUCGAUUGUGCUAUUAAAAACUAUUGUUAAGUAUUAAUUUACGUGUUGUUUGUUUUGUUUUUAGGUGUUAUGAAGUUGAAGCAAUCUUUUCAUGACGAGCAAGAUAUGAAGUUGCAUAAUUUAUGGUUUAUGUUACGUAUUUUAACUUAUGUUGUCUUUUUUUAUUUCAUGUGUUUGUCUUCUACGAUUUGUCAUUUUUUGCAAGUGAUGAUUUUUAUUAUUACCUUAUCUUAGAUUUAUGUUUGUUAUGUAUCGAUAUUUAUAGUUUGAUUGCGUAAUAUCGCAUUAUCGAUGGAUAUGUAAUUUGAAAGAAUACGUUUGUAUGUUUAGAAAAAUUAAAAAAAGAAAAAAAGAAUUAAUUGGUCCUAGGUUGACCCCUAGAAUAAGACUAGGCCCAUAGUCAAUCCAAUCCGGUCUAAAAAAUUGGGAGCCAAUAUUAGACAAAUUGAUUUGGGGUUAGGUGUUGGACCAGCCCAAUUCAAACCAUGCUCACCUUUGCUUCUUUAGUUAAAAAACAGGAGAAUACCACAAGGGAAGGACUUGUAUGAUUUCCAUUGGCUUUAUGCUAAAGCUAUCAUACUUUAUAAAUUAGCAACGGGUGCAUCUUUAACUUUACUACAAUGUAUUGACACUACUUGCAUCCAUCAAGAAAUUAUGUGCCAUUGCGGUUAAAGAAGAACCAAGAUAGCACUUACUAAUCAAAGGUCGUAGGCCAUUAGGGUUGUGUCCUAUGGACUCCUUCCCAAGCCCAUUUCGUUCAACUUUGAGAGGAUGUAUUUGUAAAAAUGCAAAUACCUUUGGGUAAAGAGAGUUUUCUAAAAUGUAAAUAGUGUUUGAUAAAUUGUAAUUCUAAAGUGUAUUGAGAAACAGCUUUGAACAAAAUACUAUUUGGUAAAAAUUGCAUUUAUAAAUGACUUUUAUUAAAUUAAAAAAAUAUUGCAUUUGUAUUUUUUUUUUUAAGUCUAGCAAUCGAUUGGCUAGAUCUGUCGGCCGGACUGUCAGAUCUGGCCGCCAGAUGCUAUCGCCCACUUUAGGUGAGGUUGCUCGAGGUUGCGUGACCCCAAGCGUCGGCCGUCAGCAUAAGCAACCUUGGCCGGUGAUCGUUAGCCUCCAAUCGACUUUUUUGUGCGGCGAUAUUUGAAGAAGAUGAACAGUAACCAAUGCUAAGACUUGCAUUCCGAAAAUGCAUCUUACCAAAGUACCUCGGACCUGCUUCGGACUAAAAAGCUUUUAGAGUCAUUUGAAAAUGCAAUUAUAUUUUCUCAACGUUGAGCAAAAACACGAACUAAAUGCGUUUGCAUUUGGCCAAAGGAUUUUAGAGUCCCAAAGCCCAUUCCAAAUGCCGAACCAAACAGGAUCCCAUUCAUUGAACUCCAAGGAAACUGUGGAUUCAAGUUGGUAGACACAAACUCGAUAGGAAAGUAUCGGAGAUUUUUUGAUAUAUUUCUUUUGGAGCGAGAUUCUUAAGAAAGAGAUUGAUAUCAAAUUUAUCAGUGAGGAUGAGCUUGAUACUGGAACUAUAGUCUAUAGGCUUCGUAAGGCUUGGCGGUAAUGAGAAAUCAAGUGAGGAAAGCCGCUGGAGAUUAGGUAUGCGCUUCGGAAUGGAUCGUACAAGAAUCCACCAACGAAGCUAAUCCUUUCUCAUCCCUAAUAAACUAGAUUGAGAAAACAAUAAAUGCAACAGCUCAUACACGUAUGUGGCAGAUGCAUUGAAUUGCCCUCUAGUCAGUGCACUUCACAAGUAGAGAAAAUUCAUUGCCGAUCCAAAUUUAACAUGAGUCUGCUUUUUCAGAGUUAAACUAAUCUUAUAUUUCUUUUUUUCUUUUUUUUGUGAUUUCAGAAGAUAUGGAAAUGAAUUGCUUCAUGUCCAUCUCUCUCUCUCUCCCUCUCUCUCCAAAAACAUCACAAUUAUAAUGCGCUAUUGAGCUGUUAUGAUUGUGGACUUUAAUUAAAAACACUUAUCCCAACUUUUGUCAGCAAGUGUUUUUAGAAUAGACGUAAUCAUACUCACGAGAGAGACGGUGCAAAUAACAAACUUUCUUUAUCUAGGUACGUGACAUGUACUGUAUAUCUACUCGCUAGUACAAUUCUCAUAUUUAUUUAGUGAUAUGUGAUUAUAACAUAUCAACUUUGGAAUCUCUUCUUGUUUGGUUUGCGACUCUUAAUAUCCAUAUCGUACUAUAAAUGAUAAACCAAAUUCAUGAGUUUAGCUUGUGGAUUCGCAAAACUAUCUUAUUUUUAUUUGUGUACAUCAUAUUUUGGUUUGUGACUUUUAUAAAUCUAAAAAUUCUCUUAAAAAUUGAAAUUAUAUCAUGAAAAACUUUAAAUUGGUACAUUUAUCACAUAAUUACCUCAAAUGACUACAAAUAAUCCUAAACUAAUACAAUUGAAAUAAAUUUACUUCAAAUUAAUUUUUUGACCCAUGAUACGUUUGUGAUAUAUAUACUCUCCAUUAAAUUAAAAAUCAUAAAACUGGUAUAAUUGUGACAAAUGCAGAGUAAAAUUUCAAACUAGUAUAACAAUCAACUGUCUCGUGUCAUUAGUAUUUUAACAAUAAAAUUUAAUGGAAAUUAAUAAAUGGUAAUUAUAAUAAGUAUACCGAUUUGAGAUAAAUUUGUCAGAAGUCUAUUAAUUUGGGGAUUUUGAUAGUAAAAAAAUUAGUUUAUAAUAAAUUUGUCCAAUAUCGAUUUAGAUUUUUUAUGGUAUUAAACCUAAAUUUUUUUUUUAUUUGUUAUGAAUUAUACUCGGAAGGAUGGUAAAUUUCCUCUGCAGAGGUGAAAAUUUCCAUAUGAUGUAGUUUUGCUACUCCUGGUUCUUUCUCACUCUGUUUUCGGGAAGCUCGGGAGUCGUUUGAUCGUUGGUGACUGGAAGUUCUCUCUGCGAGGGAGAGAAGGAUGAAGAAGAAGAAGAAGAGAGGUCAGUCGAAUCGAACGUGAUCUUGGUUGUGAUUGUACCCACCGUUGUCUCAGUGUAAGUCCUAUGUUCAGUUCGCUCUCUAAAACCCUACUUCGGCGCCCGCUGUUCUUGCCCACCACCCUCAGAUUAAUCUCCACUGCCACCGCCGCCUCGAAUCGAACCUCUUUCGCGUUCUCUUAUCUCGUGAAUUCAUGUGGGUUGUCCCCGGAGUCGGCGUUGUUUGUUUCCAACCGCGUCACCUUCGAAACCUCGGCAAGACCCGACGCGGUGGUUAACGUCUUCAAGAGCCAUGGUUUCUCUCAAUCCCAGAUCUCGGGUAUCAUUAGGAAGUGGCCUCCGCUGAUUCUGGCGAGACCUGAGAGGACCCUCUUGCCCAAAUUGAAGUAUCUGCGCUCUGUCGGCUUUUCCGGCUCUGACCUGGCGCCAAUGAUCACCUUUGCUCCCUACUUUUUGACUAGGAGCUUAGAGAAGCACCUCAUCCCCAAUUUCAGUAGGCUGCGGGACUUCCUUGGGUGCAAUAAGAGCGCGGUUACAGCUAUUAGACGCAGUCCAAGAAUAUUGUUACAUGGUUUCGAGGCUACAGUUGAUCGUGUCGUCAAGAUUUUGAGAGAUAAUGGAGUGCGUGAAUCAAGCAUUAUGUGGUUAGUUAAGUGUCAUUUCAGGAAGUUGAUGAAGUCGCACGAUCACCUCAAGAAAAUUGUGGAGAAAACUAAGGGGAUGGGCUUUGAUGAUCCUUCUGCGGCAAAGUUCGCUGUGGCUAUGUUAGCGGUCUUGGGGAUGAGCGAAUCAAUGUGGGAGAGGAAAUUGGAUGCUUAUAGCAGGUGGGGUUGGUCUAAAGAUGACGCCAUGAGUGCUUUUGUGAAGAGGCCUUGGUGCAUGACAUUGUCUGAGGAAAAAAUAAGCGCAGUGAUGGGAUUCUUUGUCAAGGAAAUGGGGCUUGAAUCUUCAUUUCUUCUGCGACAUCCUACCUUGAUGUCGCUGAGCUUAGAAAAACGGAUUUUUCCUCGAUGUAUGGUUUUUAAACAUUUGUCGUCGCAUGGUUUGAUGAAGACGAAGUUUUGCUUGACUACCCUGUUGACAAUUUCUGAUAAAGAUUUCCUGGUAAAGUUCGUGACCCCUCAUAUAAGGGAAGCUCCAGAAUUGCUGGAUAUAUAUCGGGAGAAGAAGCAUAUGGCGAUGGGGGCACUGGUUCCAUGAAAUGGCACACAAUACCACAUAAUUUGUUUGUCCCUCUUUCAUUUAAGGUUGUCAUUCUGUUUAUUUUGCGUCUCAACUUUUGGCUGCUGAUUCUUUUGAGAACUGUAUAGUGUAUCAAUGGAGAACGCGUGCCAUAUCUUUUGAAAUCAUGGAGAAUGUCCAUUGUUUCGCAUUCUCCCAUUAAGUUGGGUCUUUAUUCGUAGGCUUUCUGUAUACCUUGCCUUGAGGUUAAAUGUUCAUAUGCAAGCAUGGCCUAGAUGAUCCCUGAUUGUAGGCUUAAUAAGAUAAGAAAGUUAAGUUGCUCAUGUAUGCUGGUUAAUUCUUUAUCUGCUCAGAAUUUUUCCGAAUUAAGAAGCUUUGGGAAAGUGCCAAAAGGAACGAGGAAACCAUAGCUAUGAAUGCUUGGAAGUCUCAAUCUUCUAAUACACAGCAAUCUUCAGAGUGACAGGUUAAAAUUUGACUUGAAUAUGCCCUGAUGUUCUGCAUAAUGGUUGUACAGCAAGAUAGAUUGGAAGUUUGCUGUGGCAAACCCUGCUUCACUGCCCACCAUUUUCACUUCUCGCGCUAAGAUUAAUCUUCUGUGCCACCACCUCGAAUCAACCCCUUUCACGGUCUCUUAUUUCUUGAGUUUGUGUGGGUUGUCUGCUGAAUCUGUGGUGUUUGUGUCCAGCUGUGCCAACUUCAAGACCGCAAGACUGGACUCGGUCAUUCACUUCUUCAUGAACAAUGGCCUUCUAUCGAUACCAGAUCUCACAGAUCUCACGGAUCAUUAGGGACACUUCCUCAGGUGAUUGUGGCCAAUCCUGGGAGGGAACCUUUUGCCCAAAUUCAAUUAUUUGUUCUCUUGGCUUUUCCUACUAUGAUCUGGCCAAAGUCAUCACUGCUUUUCAGGUACAUUGAUGAGAGCCCGGAGAGCGGCCUCAUCGCUCUCCACUCUCUGCUCUUCAUGGAACAAUUCUUAUUAGAGUUUCAUUUUUUUAAUAUUUAUCCUUACUGCACUCACAUCAUAAGGAUGGACGAUACUACCCAAGAAAGCAAAUGGUUCAAGAUAAUUGCUGUUUUGCAAAAUAUAUUUUGUGGGAUAGAGAUCUAUAUAAAGCUAAAGUAGGAAAUGGGCAUUAUGCGAAAUUGCGAACUGGUGACAGCUUUCCUGCUCGCUGUCUUCGUUAUAAGAUGAUGAACAAAAAUUAGAUUCGGAGGCGGGCAGGUCCACUUCUUGUUUUCUCAGGAAUGCGAAGAAUAAAGAGUGUGCAUGUCAGGGAAAGAGUAUGAUGGAAAAUGCUAUUUUUUAAAUUACUUGAACAGAGGAGUCCAUCUUUACAAUUCAUUGACAUAUUAUAUAUAGAUUUCUCCCUGCCCAAAGCCCAAGCUAAAUAUCCUGGCUAUGUAAUUAUUUUUAUCACGACACUUGUUGUAGUUGUCUAGGUUGCAACCAAAGACGUGAGCUCCUACCGUCUUUAAAGUGGAAGGGGUCUGACCCGACUUGUCCCCUAUUGUAGCAAUUGGAACAUCCAUAUCCAAGGGAUGUCUUGUCAUAGAGACGAAUGUUGUCAUCACAGGGGUGAGCAGUGGUUCAGGAUCAACCUUGGACCAGCCCAACUUGGCCGGUCUUUGGUCCGAUUCUAGGGAGACAAGGUCGGUCCCUAAUUGUGUGACCUUUGAACCUUGCAUUGUUCAAAUUGGUCAUCGGUCUUGAGAUUUUAGGGUUGGGAUUGGACCAACACUAGUUCAAACCAAGCCCUAGGUGACUUUGUUGUCUUUCUUUUGCUAUGUAAAGUAGAAACUCUCGUUUAACCAAAAGAAAUAGAAUUCCUCUGUCUUCGCUUGUUUGUAGCAGCUUUGUUGACUUGCGUCGCUCGCUUUUGUUUUCUUGCCUUUGUCUUACCGAGGAGAUUACCAUGGAUAAAUAGAGUUUGCACAUUGAAGUUGAAUGAAUUUAAGUGGUGAGAUAUUUUAUUGAUUGCACUAAUAGUAAUUUCAAUUUAAAACUAUUGCUAAGUAUUAAUUUACAUGUUGUUUGUUUUGUUUUUAGGUGUUCAAAAGUUGAAGCGAUAUUUUCACGAUGAGCAAGAUAUGAAGUUGUAUAAUUUAUGGUUUAUGUUAUGUAUUUUAACUUAUGUUGUCUUUUUUUUUUUAUUUCAUGUGUUUGUCUUCUAUGAUUUGUCAUUUUUAGCAAGUGAUGAUUUUUAUUAUUACCUUAUCUUAGAUUUAUGAUUGAUAUGUAUUGAUAUUUAUAAUUUAAUUGCGUAAUAUCGCAUUAUCAAUGGAUAUGUAAUUUGUAAGAAUAUGUUUGUAUGUUCAGGAAAUUAAAAAAAGAAAAAAAGAAUUAAUUGAUCCUAGGUUGACCCUAGAAUCGGACUAGACUCAUAAUCAAUCCAAUCAUUGGUCUUAGGCUCUAUAGGGUCGGUAUCCAGUCUAAAAAUUUGGGAACCAGUAUUAGGCGAAUUGAUCUGGGGUUAGGUGUUGAACUGGCCCAAUUCGAACCAUGCUCACCUUUGCUUCUUUAGUAAAAGAACAAGAGAAUACCACAAGGGAAGGACUUGUAUGAUUUCCAUUGGCUUUAUGCUAAAGCUAUCAUGCUUUAUAAAGAAGCAAUGGGUGCAUCUUUAACUUUACUACGAUGUAUCGGCACUACCUGCAUACAUCACGAAAUUAUGGGGAAAAGUGCCAAAAAAGUCAUAAAUAUUUUGUUUUUUUGUCAAUUUAGUCUUAAACAUUUUUUACAUUAUGCCAAUUUAGUUAUUCCCAGCCAAUUUUGAUCGGAUUUUGCCAACUGGACGUCGGUCGGUUGACGUAGCCUAAUCGGUGUUGACGUGGACAACUUUUAAUAAUAUUUUAAUGUUUUAAUAUUUUUUAAAUUUUUAAUUAUUUAAUUAAUUAAUUUUUUUUUUCUUCUCCUCUUCUUCCUCCAGCUGGUCGCCAAACCUUGGCAACCGGCUAGAGGCGACAGCUGGUGAGGUCAAGGUCGACCUCGCCGGCCACCUCGCCAGUGGCUACAAGGGUGGCGAGGGCGAGCCUCGCCCGCCUGGCGUGAGGUCGCCCUCGAGGCCUGAGCGACAAGGCUCACCUUACCGAAUCUGGCAAUGAGUUGGGGUUCGAGUCAGACUUCGUCAACGACUUGCUCUUCAUCGUCUGCUAGCUCGUCUCUAGGGAGUUGUUCUUCUCUUUGAAGAAGGCGGGGUACCUUGUCGCGAGGUUGGAAUCCGCGGUGAAAGCGAAGCUGCCCCUGCUGUCGUCGAGGCCAAUGGAGGAGUUCGAUGGCUCGGGUCGAGGCGAGCCCAAGGAGCGCUGUGAAGGAACUGGCGCUCUCCAGGGGCGGAGCCAUCAAGUGCCGGAGAUCCUUGGGGAGCAUCGACUCCAGCACGGCGUCGGUGGAUCCGGCUAGGGUUAGAGAUGUCGGCUCCAUCAGGAAUCGGCUUUGGGAGCUGAUCGAAUCAAGCUGGCCUCCUCAUGCCAAGCUAGCGGGGUUCGCCCUCGCCGGCCAUGAGCGAGGUCGACCCUCACCAGAUCCGGCGAGGGCGAGCCUCGCCGCCUAGGCCUUAUGGGCGACCUCGCACCGGGCAGGCAAGCCUCGCCGCCUCACGCAAGGCCACCCUCGCGGCCAUUGGUGAGGUUGAUCUCAACCUCGUCGGUCGUCACCUCUGGCCGGUCACCAAGGUCUGGCGACUUGCUGGAGGAAGAAGAGGAGAAGAAAAAAAGAAAAAGAAAAAAGAAAAAAGAAAAAGUAAUUAAAAUAAUAAAAUAAUAUUAUUAAAAGUUGUCCACAUUAGCGUCGAUCAGGUCACGUCAGCCGGCCGGCGUUCAGUCAGCAAAAUCCGACUAAAAUUGGCCAGAAAGGACUGGAUUUGCACAGUGUAAAAAGGUUUAGGACUAAAUCGGUACCAAAAAAAGGUUUAGGACUAAAUUGGUAUCAAAAAAAGGUUUAGGACUAUAUCGGCAUAAAAACAAAAUGUUUAGGACUUUUUUGACACUUUUCCCAGAAAUUAUGUGCCAUUGUGGUUAAAGAAGAGCCAAGAUUACACUAACUAAUCGGAGGUCGUAGGCCAUUAAGGUUGCAUCCUAUGGACUCCUUCCCAGGCCCAUUUUGUUCGACUUUGAGGGAAUGUUCUUGCAAAAAUGCAAAUACCUUUGGGUGAAAUGAGUUUUUCGAAAUGCAAAUAGCAUUUGGUAAAUUAUAAUUCUAAAGUGUAUUGAGAAACAACUUUGAACUGUUUGGUAAAAAUUGCAUUUGUUAAGGACUUUUAUAAAAUUAAAAAAAUGAUUAAUACUUUGAAAAACUCCAAACCGGUACACCUGUGACAAAUUUACCUCAAACUAUUUUUUUAACCAUGAAAAACUUCAAACCGGUACAUCUGUGACAAAUUUACCCCGACUAACCAUAAAAAAUCAUAAACUGGUAUAUUUAUGACAAGUUUAUCCCAAAUUAAUUUAUUCGACCGUAAAAAACCCCAAACUGAUAAAUUUGUGACAAAUAUAUCCUUCGCUAAAUUGGAUUAAUGCCACAAAAAAAUCACAAAAAUUGUAAACUGUGACAAACGGAACAUAAAAUUCUAAAUUGGUAUAUCAGUCAACUGUCACGUGUCAUUUAACUUAAUAAUUUGAUAGUAAAAUUUAACGAAAACUAACUGAUGGUAAAUUUGUCGCAAGUAUAUCAAUUUGGGGUAAAUUUGUCAAAAGUAUACCGGUUUUGGGUUUUUGAUGGUCAAAAAAAUAGUUUGAAGUAAAUUUGUCACAUGUGUACUAGUUUGGGGUUUUUCGAAGUAUUAACCUUUAAAAAAAAUUGUAUUUGUAUAUAUAUAUUUAGGUCUGGCCACUAUCGGCCAGAUUGUCGAAUCGGGCCGCCGGACAGCCAGAUCUAGCUCCCGAAUGCUGUCGCCCACCUUAGGCAAGGUUGCCUAGGUCGCGUGACCCUAGGCGUUGGCCGUCGGCACAAGCAACCUUGGCCAUCGAUUGUUGGCCUCCAAUCGACUUUUUUGUGCGGCAGUUAUUGAAGAAGAUGAAUAGUAAUCGAGGCUAAAACUUGCAUUCCGAAAAUGCAUCUUUCCAAAGUACCUCAGACCUACUUUGGACUAAAAGCCUUUAGUCCUUUGAAGAUGCAAUUGUAUUUUCCCAAAGUUGAGCAAAAACACGAACCAAACGCGUUUGCAUUUGGUCAAGGGACUUUAGAGUCUCAAAACCCAUUUCAAAUGCCGAACCAAAUAGGGCGCCAUUCAUUGAACUCCAAGGAAACCAUGGAUUCAAGUUGGCGAACACAAACUCGAUAGGAAAAUUGAAGAUUUUUUUAUAUCUUUUUUUUGGAGUGAGAUUCUUAAGAAAGAGAUUGAUAUCGAAUUUAUUUGUGAGGAUGAGCUUGAUUCGGGAACUGUAGUCUAUAGGCUUCAUAAGGCUUGGUAGUAAUGAGAAAUCAAGUGAGGAAAGCCACUGGAGAUUAGGUAUGCGCUUUGGAAUAGAUCGUACAAGAAUCCCCCAAUGUAGCUAAUCCUUUCUCGUCCCUAAUAAACUAGAUUGAGAAAACAAUAAAUGCACCAACUCACGCACAUAUGUGGCAGAUACAUUGAAUUGCCCUCUAGUCAAUGCACUUUACAAGUAGAGAAAAUUCAUUGCCAAUCCAAAUUUAAGGUUUCAUUCGUUUCACGGAAAAUGACUUCCUGGAAAACAUUUUCCGAAUUUUCCAGCGCUCAUUUUACGGAAAAUGAAUUAGUUAAGGAAAAUAUUUUUCACUUUUCAAAAGUAGAAAACAUUUUCCAUAACUUCUUCCAUCUUGCGUCUUUUCACCAAUACAUUUUCAUUUUAUUUUUAUGCUUUAUUUUUCUUUUUCUUUUUUAAAUUGAGUUUAUAAUUUUUUUUCCUUUUUUUUUUUUCUUUCUUUCCUUCCCAUAUUCUUCUUUGGCCUUGGCCAGUCGCCAGCCACGGCGGCAGUCAGCCGCGAGCCAGCUUGAGCCUUGCCCCACGGUGGAUCUCUCACCAACCUAAGGCGGAACUCAAGCCUCGUUAGAUCUGGCAAGCUGGGCGGGGCUCGAGUGAGAUCAGUCGAGCCUCGAGCUCACCGAAUCUGGUGACCAGGUCUUGGUCGGUUGCCGGGCAGUCGGCCAUCGUCAGGCAUGCAGUGGCGAAGGAAUGAGGAGGAAGAAGGAGGAGGAAGGAGGAAGGAAAAGAAAAGGAAAAAGAAAGAAAGAAAUAAUAAAAAUUUCGAUUUUUUUAAAAUACAAAUAAUAAAAAAUUCAUUCUAAAAAAAUAUAAAAAAAAAUAAAACUAAUUUUUUGGCUAAUUAAAAAUAUUAAAAUUCCAUUUUUGAUAAUUUUCCCCAAACAAUUAAAUUAGCUAACUAACAGUGGAAAAUAUUUUUCAUUCAAAGUUCAAGUUUCAGCCAAACACCGGAAAAUGUAGUCAUUUUCCAAGAAAAUGAUAUCCUAGAAAAUAUUUUCUAGAAACGUGAUAUUUUUCACAAAACAAACGGACCCUAACAUGAGUCUAUUUUUUUAGAGUUAAACUAAUCUUAUAUUUCUUAUUAUUUUUUUAAUUUUUUGUGAUUUCAAAAGAUAUGGAAAUGAAUUACUUCAUGUCCAUUUCUCUCUCUCUCUCUCCCUCUCUCUGCAAAAACAUCACAAUUAUGAUGCGUUAUUGAGAUGUUAUGAUUGUGGAAUUUAAUUCAAAACACUUAUCCCAACUUUGUUAGCAAGUGUUUUUAGAAUAGACGUAAUUAGGGGUGAGUAUUGGUCCAGAGUCAACCCAAGACCGACUCUAGACUGGCCCAACCUUACUAGUCCUGGUCUGGUUCCCAGGGAAAUUGGAUCGGUCAUUGGUCUUAGAAUUCCUGAACCAGCAUUGUACGAGUUGGUCCUCAGUUCUAAGAGUUCUAUGUCGGUCCAACUUGGACCAACCCUGACUAUAUAUAUAUACCUAGGGAAAUUGGGUCAGUCCUUGAUCCUAGAAUUCCUAGACCAGCACUGUGCAGAUUGAUCCUCGAUCCUAAGAGUUUCAGGUCGGUCGAAUCCGGACCAAUCCUGACUAUAUAUAUAAUAUUACUUAUAAUUUUUUUUUAUAUAGAGAAAACCUUAAAUAAACGACGUCAACAAUAUUAAACAGUUCUUUAGUGAGAAGUUCAAAUAAUUUUACAUUAUUCUUUAAUAACUUAGAUUUUUAAUGUCUUUUACGGCAUCAAUAGUCAUAAUUUACAAAGGAGGAAAAUGUUUUUGUGAGGAGUUCUUACAGCAUCUAAAAAUGCAUAAACAACUUUUUAUGGCAUCAUUCUCUAGUAUUCAUUCUCUUUUAUCUUAUUUGUUCUCUUAGUAUUCAAUUUGCCAAAAAAAAAUUAUAAAAAAAAACAACAACAACAACAACUUCUCCGCUUAUCACUUGACACGCCUCGCUCGCUUUGGGUCACUUGCGCCACUCGUCGUUCGAUGUUCACUUGACUUGUUGCUUCCUGCUCAACAUUUGACACUCAUUACGUUCAAUGCUCUCCUCACUUGACCUUCACCACUUGUCUUUCUUAGCUAACCUCACUCAUCAUCAAACCCAUUGAGUUGGUAUGGUCCUCGGUUGCCCUUUUAAGAAGCAUAAAAAAUUAUUGGUUGGUCCUGAGUUGACUCUAAAAUCGGACAGAACCCAUUGGGUUAGUUCGGUCCUCAAUCGUUUUUUUAAGGAGUACAAAAAAAAAAAUUAUUGGUUAGUCCUGCAUUGACCCUGAAACUGGACCGAACCCAUUAGAUCGGUUCGGUCCUCAAUUACUUUUUUAAGGAGUACAAAAAAUAAAAUAAAAAUUUAUCGAUUGGUCUCGGAUUGACCUUGGAAUCGGUUUAGUCCUCAGUCCCAAGUUCAAUAAGGUCGGUUCUCGGUCCCAAAAAUUGAGGACCAAUACUAUGCGGAUUAAUCGUAGAAUUUGGAGGCGGACCGGUCCAACCUGGACCAUGCUCACCCCUAGAGUAAUCAUACUCACGAGAGAGACGAUGCAAAUAACAAACCUUUUUUUAUCUAGGUACGUGACAUGUACUCUAGAUCUACUCGCUAGUAAAAUCCUCAUAUUUAUUUAGUGAUAUGUGAUUAUAACAUAUCAACUUUGGAAUCUCGUUUUGUUUGCGACUCUUAAUAUCCAUAUCCUACUAUAAAUGAUAAACCAAAUUCAUGAGUUUAGCUUGUGGAUUCGCAAACUAUCUUAUUUUUAUUUGUGUACAUCAUAUUUCGGCUUGUGACUCUUUAUAAAUCCAAAAAUUCUCUUAAAAAUUGAAAUAAUAUCACGAAAAACCUCAAAUCGGUACAUUUAUCACAAAAUUAUCUCAAAAUGACAACAAAUAAUCCUAACUAAUACACUUGAAACAAAUUUACCCCAAAUUAAUUUUUUGACCAAAAAUAUCUCCGCGAUAUAUAUACCAUCCAUUAAAUUAAAAACCAUAAAACUGGAACAUAUAAUAAAAUUCCAAACUAGUAUACUAAUCAACUGUCUCGUGUCAUUAGUAUUUUGACAAUAAAAUUUAACUGAAAUUAAUAGAGGGUAAUUGCCAUAAAUAUACUAAUUUGAGGUAAAUUUGUCAGAGGUCUAUUAAUUUGGGGAUUUUGGUAAUAAAAAAAUUAGUUUAUGAUAAAUUUGUCCAAUAUGGGUUUAGAUUUUUUAUUAUAUUAAACCUAAAAUUUUCUUAUUUGUUAUGAAUUAUACUUGUAAGGACGGUAAAUUUCCUCUGCAGAGGUGAAAAUUUCCAUAUGCUGUAGUUUUGCUACUCCUGGUUCUUUCUCACUCUGUUUUCAGGAAGCUCUGGAGUCGUUUGAUCGUUGGUGACCGGAAGUUCUCUCCGCGAGGGAGAGUAAGGAAGAAGAAGAAGAGAGGUCGGUCGAAUCGAAUGCGAUCUUGUUUGCGAUUGUACUCGUCGGUGUCUCAGCCCAAGUCCCAUGUUCAGUUUGCUCUCUAAAACCCUUCUUCGCCGCCCGCUGUUCUUGCCCACCACCCUCAAAUUAUUCUCGACCGCCGCCGCCACCGCCGCCGCUGCCGCCUCGAAUCGAACCUCUUUCGCGUUCUCUUAUCUCGUGAAUUCAUGUGGGUUGUCCCCUGAAUCAGCGCUGUUCGUUUCCAACCGCGUCACCUUCGAAACCUCGGCGAGACCCGACGCGGUCGUUAACGUCUUCAAGAGCCAUGGUUUCUCUCAAUCCCAGAUCGCGGGUAUCAUUAGGAAGUGGCCUCCGAUGAUUUUGGCGAAUCCUGAGAGGACCCUCUUGCCCAAAUUGAAGUAUCUGCGCUCUGUCGGCUUUUCCGGCUCUGACCUGGUGCAAAUGAUCACCUUUUCUCCCUACUUUUUGACUAGGAGCUUAGAGAAGCACCUCAUCCCCAAUUUCAGUAGGCUGCGGGACUUCCCUUGGGUGCGAUAAGAGCGCGGUUACAGCUAUUAGACGCAGUCCAAAAAUAUUGUUACAAGGUUUCGAGGCUACAGUUGAUGUGUCGUCAAGAUUUUGAGAGAUAAUGGAGUGCGUGAAUCAAGCAUUAUGUGGUUAGUUAAGUAUCAUUUUAGGAAGUUGAUGACUUCGUACGAUCACCUCGAGAAAGUUGUGGAGAAAACCAAGGGGAUGGGCUUUGAUGAUCCUUCUGCGGCAAAGUUCGCUGUGGCUAUGCUACCAGUCAUGGGAAUCAGCGAAUCGAUGUGGGAGAGGAAAUUGGAUGCUUAUAGCAGGUGGGGUUGGUCUAAAGAUGAUGCCAUGAGUGCUUUUGUGAAGAGUCCUUGGUGCAUGACAUUGUCUGAGGAAAAAAUAAGCGCAGUGAUGGGAUUCUUUGUCAAGGAAAUGGGGCUUGAAUCUUCAUUUCUUCUGUGACAUCCUACCUUGAUGUCGCUGAGCUUAGAAAAACGGAUUCGUCCUCGAUGUAUGGUUUUCAAACAUUUGUCGUCACAUGGUUUGAUGAAGACGAAGUUUGGCUUGACUACGCUGUUGACAAUUUCUGAUAAAGAUUUCCUGGCGAAGUUCGUGACCCCUCAUAUACGGGAAGCUCCAGAAUUGCUGGAUAUAUAUCGGGAGAAGAAGCAUAUGGUGAUGGGGGCACUGGUUCCAUGAAAUGGCACACAGUACCACAUAAUCCGUUUGUCCCUCUUUCAUUUAAGGUUGUCAUUCUGUUUAUUUUGUGUCUCAACUUUUGGCUGCUGAUUCUUUUGAACUGUAUAGUGUAUCGAUGGAGAACGCCUGCCAUAUCUUUUGAAAUCAUGGAAAAUGUCCAUUGUUUCGCAUUCUCCCUUUAAGUUGGCUCUUUAUUUUUAGGCUUUCUGUAUAACUUGCCUUAAAGGUUAAAUGUUCAUAUGAAAGCAUGGCCUAGAUGAUCCCUGAUUAUAGGCUUAAUAAGAUAAAAAAAUUAAGUUGCUCAUGUAUGCUGGUUAAUUCUUUACCUGCUCAGAAUUUUUCCAAAUUGAGAAGCUUUGGGAAAGUGCCAAAAGGAACGAGGAAACCAUAGCUAUGAAUGCUUGGAAGUCUCAAUCUUCGGAUACACAGCAAUCUUCAGAGUGACAGGUUAAAAUUUGACUUGAAUGUGCCUUGAUGUUCUGCAUAGUGGUUUUACAGCAAAGAUAGAUUGGAAGUUUGCUGUGGCAAACCCUGCUUCACCGUCCACCUUUUUCACUUCUCGCACUAGGAUUAAUCUCCAGUGCCACCACCUCGAAUCAACCCCUUUCCUGGUCUCUUAUUUCUUGAGUUCGUGUGGGUUGUCUGCUGAAUCUGUGGCGUUUGUGUCCAGCUGUGCCAACUUCAAGACCGCGAGACUAGACUUGGUCAUUCACUUCUUCACGAACAAUGGCCUUCAAUCGAUACCAGAUCUCACAGAUCAUUAGGGACACUUCCUCAGGUGAUUGUGGCCAAUCCUGGGAGGGAACCUUUUGCCCAAAUUCAAUUAUGUGUUCUCUCGGCUUUUCCUACCAUGAUCUGGCCAAAGUCAUCACUGCUUUUCAGGUACAUUGAUGAGAGCCCGGAGGGUGGCCUCAUCGCUCUCCGCUCUCUGCUCUUCAUGGAACAAUUCUUAUCAGAGUUUAAUAUUUCUCCUUACCGCACUCACAUCAUAAGGAUGGACGAUACUACCCAAGAAAGCAAAUGGUUCAAGAUAAUUGCUGUUUUGCAGAAUAUAUUUUGUGGGAUAGAGCUCUAUAUAAAGCUGAAGUAGGAAAUGGGCAUUAUGCGAAAUUGCGAACUGGUGAAAGCUUUCCUGCUCGCUGUCUUCGUUAUAAGAUGAUGAACAAAAAUUAGAUUCGGAGGCUGGCAGGUCCACUUCUUGUUUUCUCAGGAAUGCGAAGAAUAAUGAGUGUGCAUUUGAGGAAAAGAGUAUGAGGAAAAGAGUAUGAUGGAAAAUGCUCUUUUUUAAAUCACUUGAAUAGAGGAGUCCGCCUUUACAAUUCAUGGACAUAUUACAUACAGAUUUCUCCCUGCCUAAAGCCCAAGCUAAAUAUCCUGGCUACGUAAUUAUUUUUAUCACGACACUUGUUGUGGUUGUCUUGGUUGCAACCAAAGACGUGAUCUCCUACCGUCUUUAAAGUGGAAGGGGUCUGACCUGACUUGUCCCCUAUUGUAGCAAUUGGAACGUCCAUAUCCAGGGGAUGUCUUGUCGUGUCGUAGAGACGAAUGUUGUCAUCACAAGGGUGAGCAAUGGUCUAGGAUCAACCUUGCGGGCUGGUCCGGUUCCGAGGGAGACAAGGUCGAUCCCUAAUUCUAGGACCCUUGAACCUUGCAUUGUCUGAAUUGGUUAUCGGUCUUGAGAUUUUAGGGUUGGGAUUGGACCAACACUAGUUCAAACCAAGCCCUAGGUGACUUUGUUGUCUUUCUUUUGCUAUGUAAAGUAGAAACUCUCAUUUGACCAAAAGAAAUAGAAACCCUCUUUUUCUUCACUUGUUUGUAGCUGGCUUUGUUGACUUGCCUCGCUCGCCUUUGUUUUCUUGCCUCUGUCUUACCGAGGAGAUUACCAUGGAUAAAUAGAGUUUGCACGUUGAAUGAAUAUAAGUAGUGAGAUGUUUUAUCAAUUGCGCUAAUAGUAAUUUCAAUUUAAAACUAUUGUUAAGUAUUAAUUUACGUGUUGUUUGUUUUGUUUUUAG